GUGAAGAACGCAGUGAAAUGCGAUAAGUAGUGUGAAUUGCAGAAUUCAGUGAAUCAUCGAAUCUUUGAACGCACAUUGCGCCCUUUGGUAUUCCUUAGGGCAUGCCUGUUCGAGCGUCAUUUAAACCUUCAAGCUAAGCUUGGUGUUGGGUGACUGUCCGCUUCACGGCGGACUCGCCUCAAAAUUAUUGGCGGCCGGUACAUUGGCUUCGAGCGCAGCAGAAACGCGAACUCGGGCCCGUCGUAUUGGCUCCCAGAAGCUAUCUUCACAAUUUUGACCUCGGAUCAGGUAGGGAUACCCGCUGAACUUAAGCAUAUCAAUAAGCGGAGGA
rnacentral:misc_RNA from 1 species